rnacentral:rRNA from 1 species
GUAGUAGGUAAGCGAUGGGGUGACGCAGGAAGGUAGUCCAGCCCAGGCGAUGGUUGUCCUGGGGUAAGCAUGUAGGGCGUGUCGUAGGUAAAUCCGCGGCAUUUAAGCCUGAGAUGUGAUGCCGAGCCGAUUGUGGUGAAGUGGAUGAUCCUAUGCUGCCGAGAAAAGCCUCUAGUGAGUGUUGUGGCGGCCCGUACCCUAUACCGACUCAGGUGGUCAGGUAGAGAAUACCAAGGCGAUCGGGUGAACUGUGGUUAAGGAACUCGGCAAAUUGCCCCCGUAACUUCGGGAGAAGGGGGACCUCUGUUGGUGAUGGGCUUUACGCCUGGAGCUGGUGGGGGUCGCAGUGGCCAGGGGGAAGCGACUGUCUACUAAAAACACAGGUCCGUGCGAAGUCGUAAGACGAUGUAUACGGACUGACGCCUGCCCGGUGCCGGAACGUUAAGGGGACCGCUUAGCUGACGUGAGUUGGCGAAGGUGAGAACUUAAGCGCCGGUAAACGGCGGUGGUAACUAUAACCAUCCUAAGGUAGCGAAAUUCCUUGUCGGGUAAGUUCCGACCUGCACGAAUGGCGUAACGACUUCCCCGCUGUCUCAACCGCAGACCCGGCGAAAUUGCACUACGAGUAAAGAUGCUCGUUUCGCGCAGCAGGACGGAAAGACCCCGGGACCUUCACUACAGCUUGACAUUGGCGUUUGGAACGUCUUGUGUAGGAUAGGUGGGAGACUGGGAAGCUGUCACGCUAGUGAUGGUGGAGUCAUUGGUGAAAUACCACUCUGGUCGUUUUGAACGUCUAACUCUGGUCCGUGAUCCGGAUCGGGGACAGUGUCUGGUGGGUAGUUUAACUGGGGCGGUUGCCUCCUAAAGAGUAACGGAGGCGCCCAAAGGUUCCCUCAGCCUGGUUGGCAAUCAGGUGUUGAGUGUAAGUGCACAAGGGAGCUUGACUGUGAGACUGACAGGUCGAGCAGGAGCGAAAGCUGGGACUAGUGAUCCGGCAUCGGCGUGUGGAAGCGGUGUCGCUCAACGGCUAAAAGGUACCCCGGGGAUAACAGGCUGAUCUUCCCCAAGAGUCCAUAUCGACGGGAUGGUUUGGCACCUCGAUGUCGGCUCGUCGCAUCCUGGGGCUGGAGUAGGUCCCAAGGGUUGGGCUGUUCGCCCAUUAAAGCGGUACGCGAGCUGGGUUUAGAACGUCGCGAGACAGUUCGGUCCCUAUCCGCUGCGCGCGCAGGAGACUUGAAGGGGGCUGUCCCUAGUACGAGAGGACCGGGACGGACGAACCUCUGGUGUGCCAGUUGUACCGCCAGGUGCACGGCUGGUUGGCUACGCUCGGAAGGGAUAACCGCUGAAAGCAUCUAAGCGGGAAGCUCGCCUUGAGAUGAGGUCUCCCACCACGAGAGUGGGUAAGGCUCCCGGUAGACGACCGGGUUGAUAGGCCGGAGGUGGAAGCACGGUAACGUGUGGAGCUGACCGGUACUAAUAGGCCGAGGACUUGACCAA